rnacentral:lncRNA from 10 species
CAUACCUUAGUUUUCUUGCUGAGAAGUUUUAAUAUCUAGGUCUUUGAAUAGUUUUCUCACCCCACCUUUAUUUGAACAGUGGAUAUGCAUGAAGGACUUCCAGGCCACUGAAAGUUGUCUGCGCAUAUGAGGUGUGGAGAGAGAGAGUCACAUCUGACUUAUCGGCCACAUGGCCCUCUAUCAAGUAUGAUGAUUGAUAAUUCUACUAUGCAGAUUAGAAUUCUACAAACUUGCUCUCAGCUUCCCUUGCAGUGAAUUGUAGCUUCCUGAUUCCAGACAAGAAAAUACCUUGUAUGACUGGUGUUCCACAAAACAUAAAUUGGACUAAUCUAUGAGGUUUACAAUACACGAGAUCCGUCCUUCAAUGACUGUACAAAAUGCAACUCCACUUCUUUGUCAAUCUGAACAACUUUAGAAAAUGUGUGUAAGUAGAAAUUUGCAAUAACUUUCACCUCUACAUUGAAAACAAAAAAACUCUUUACUCUUUUUACAGGCUGAUAUGUGACUUUUCUCCAAACACCCUUCAAAACCAUCUCUCUGAUCUGAUUCUACACAGUAGUGUAUGCCCAGCAGGCUUUCUUGCAUCUGUGUUUCCAGAGAAGCCAUGGUAGCCUAUAUGUACAGUUCUUUUAGAUGAUAAUUAAGGAUUAAUUGGAUUAAUUAGAAAACAUUUUUAGGACCAGCCACAGUGGCUCACACCUGUAAUCCUAGCAAUUUGAGAGGCCAAGGCAAGAGGAUUACUUGAGCCCAGGAGUUAGAGACUAGCCUGGGCAAUGUGGUGAGACCACAUUAUAUGGUUAGGCUUUUUGUCCCCACCUAAAUCUCAUCCUGAAUUGUAAUCCUCAUAAUCCGCACAUGUCAAGGGAGAGACUAGGUGGAGGUAAUUGAAUCACAGGGGCAGUUUCCUCCACGCUGUUCUCGUUUCGUGAUAGUGAGUGAAUUCUCACGAGAUCUGAUGGUUUCCCUCUUUCUUCAGCACUUCUGCUUCCUGCCGCCUUUUGAAGAAAGUGCCUUGCUUCUCCUUCACCUUCCACCAUGUGUAUUUCCUGAGGCCAACCCAGCCAUGCUGAACGACCAUUCCCUGAUAAUGAAAAGAGGAGAAAACCGUGAAUAGGGAAAGGAUUCAGUGGAAAAUGUACAGUUUCCAGAGAUGGUUUUCAGCAAUUCCUUCUAUUCCUCUACACUCAUGUUGUUCUUGCCAUCAAGAGGUAGAGCCGGCCAGGCUCCUGGACAUCAAUGAAUAACCUAACAACCUUGGGAAUAAGCAAGCAUGAGGAAUUGAGGAAUAUGGCCCAAAAGUUGAGAGUAAGACUCAGAGUCAACCCACCCAUCUCCAAGUAUAGAUGUGCAAUUUACCAUCAGAUUAUGGGAACUCAGAGCCAUGUGAAGAUGUGCCUGCUUCCCCUUUACCUUCCACCAUGAUUGCAAGUUUCCUGAGGCCCCUUCAGCCAUGCUACCUGUACAUCCUGUGGAACCAUGAGCCGAUUAAACCUCCUUUUUAAAAUAAAUUA